GUCAGGAUCCGGGCCCCUCUGGCGACUUAGACGUGGUCGUGAUGUCGGAUCCCUUCA
rfam:Rhodospirillum centenum SW, complete genome.